rnacentral:rRNA from 1 species
ACUCCUACGGGAGGCAGCAGUAGGGAAUCUUCCACAAUGGACGCAAGUCUGAUGGAGCAACGCCGCGUGAGUGAAGAAGGGUUUCGGCUCGUAAAGCUCUGUUGGUAGUGAAGAAAGAUAGAGGUAGUAACUGGCCUUUAUUUGACGGUAAUUACUUAGAAAGUCACGGCUAACUACGUGCCAGCAGCCGCGGUAAUAC